rnacentral:rRNA from 1 species
CAGUAGCCGCGGGAAUACGUAGGUGGCAAGCGUUGUCCGGAAUUAUUGGGCGUAAAGGGCUCGCAGGCGGUUUCUUAAGUCUGAUGUGAAAGCCCCCGGCUCAACCGGGGAGGGUCAUUGGAAACUGGGAAACUUGAGUGCAGAAGAGGAGAGUGGAAUUCCACGUGUAGCGGUGAAAUGCGUAGAGAUGUGGAGGAACACCAGUGGCGAAGGCGACUCUCUGGUCUGUAACUGACGCUGAUGUGCGAAAGCGUGGGGAUCAAACAGGAUUAGAUACCCCCGUAGUCCCUGUCUCUUAUAC